UACGUAGGGGGCUAGCGUUGUCCGGAAUCAUUGGGCGUAAAGAGCGUGUAGGCGGUCCGGUAAGUCCGCUGUGAAAGUCGGGGGCUCAACCCUCGAAUGCCGGUGGAUACUGUCGGGCUUGAGUACGGAAGGGGCGAGUGGAAUUCCUGGUGUAGCGGUGAAAUGCGCAGAUAUCAGGAGGAACACCAAUUGCGAAGGCAGCUCGCUGGGACGUUACUGACGCUGAGACGCGAAAGCGUGGGGAGCAAACAGG
rnacentral:rRNA from 1 species